ensembl:lncRNA
GUUAGAGUGUGUGUUAGUGUGUGUUUUAGAGUGUAUGUUAGAGUGUGUGUUGGAGUGUUGGUUAGAGUGUGUGUUAGAGUGUGUGUUGGAGUGUUGGUUAGAGUGUGUGUUAGAGUGUGUGUUAGAGUGUGUGUUAGAGAGUGUGUUAGAGUGUGUGUUAGAGUGUGUGUUGGAGUGUGUGUUGGAGUGUGUGUUAGAGUGUGUGUUAGAGUGUGUGUUAGAGUGUGUGUUAGAGUGUGUGUUGGAGUGUGUUGGAGUGUUGGGUAGAGUUGUGUUUGGAGUGUUGGUUAGAGUGUGUGUUGGAGUGUGUGUUAGAGUGUGUGUUAGAGUGUGUGUUGGAGUGUUGGUUAGAGUGUGUGUUGGAGUGUUGGUAGAGUGUAUGUUAGAGUGUGUGUUAGAGUGUGUGUUGGAGUGUUGGUUAGAGUGUGUGUUAGAGUGUGUGUUGGAGGGUUGGUUAGAGUGUGUGUUGGAGUGUGUGUUAGAGUGUGUGUUAGAGUGUAUGUUAGAGUGUGUGUUGGAGUGUUGGUUAGAGUGUGUGUUGAAGUGUGUUGGAGUGUUGGUUAGAGUGUAUGUUAGAGUGUGUGUUAGAGUGUGUGUUGGAGUGUUGGUUAGAGUGUGUGUUAGAGUGUGUGUUGGAGUGUUGGUUAGAGUGUGUGUUGGAGUGUGUUGGAGUGUUGGUUAGAGUGUGUGUUGGAGUGUGUUGGAGUGUUGGUUAGAGUGUGUGUUAGAGUGUGUGUUGGAGUGUUAAUUUACUGUGCAGAAGUGUGUGUUAGUGUUUAAAAGUGUGUAUCAGUGUGUAGAAGUGUGCGCUAGCUGCAGAACCUCAGUGGUAUACUAUUUACAGAG